GACCAUUUGGGCCUAGGAGACGUCCCAAAGCCUGACUCGUUGAGAGAAAUCGCAUGUGACGUCACAUUGUCGUGUGAUUUCUUUAAUCGGUAUCUCUGCACUGGCAUGCCGAAAAAAAGCUGAAAAGUAAAAGUAAGUUUUUGUCAUGGCUGUGCUUGCUGAUCGUAUCAUUUUUAUGCUGAUAUUCAUCAAAGUGUACGGUAAGGAAACGCAAAUAUUUGUUCCUCUCUUUGGGAAUUAUUACGUGUGAAGUUGAGAAGUAACAGUGAAAGAAAUAAGUUGCGUUAAAAGCUUUUUUUUAAAACUGAGUUGCUACAAACUACUCAGAAGACAGAAAGUAAGAAGUUGCCCACAAUGUGAAGCUACAGAAAAAAAAUUUGCAUCGUUGCAAAUACAAGUCACCAAAACAAUCAUUUUGAAUGAAGGUGUUUUCUUAGAGUAACCAGUGAAAUUACUACGUACACAGUUUAACUUCUCUAAUUUACUCAGUGCAUUGUGUGUUUCUGUACAAGGCUACCAUUUGUCUAGGAAUUUACUAUUUAGAAUCUAAUCAAUGCCUAUGUAAAUGUUUCAGACGUCCGAAAAAUAACUGAAAAUACUCCUGGCUCUAGAUGUAAAAAAUGAAAGUGAUUUGCAUCUUGUUUUCAGGAAGUAUGUAGUAAUGCUCUGUUUAUAGCUAUGUGGUUGUGUUGUGGCUUUUGUUGUUGUUUUGGUUUUAAAAGUGAUUCAUAUCUAGCUUUAGAAUCUUUUUUUUUUCUUAAAUCUUGGUGCUUUUUGGUGUAAUUUUUCUGUUGUUGCGAGGAACCAGGAAAUGGCUGCCGAGUGGGGCUAUUGCUAAUGCUGUGUAGGCUGUACAGUGACACAGAGAGACGUAUAUAUUUGCUGUGAAGAUAUAUAUGCUAAUGGGAUGUAUAAAUAUUCAGCCGACACAAACUGGACCACGGAUAAACUUCACAGUGAGGAAUGGGUCAGUGAGAAAAUCCCUCUGUUGUGUAUUGAAUAUGGCCCCUUUUUAAGUAACUUGACCGCUGAGGUAGAACAGGUCCUCUCUGGGAGCAUCUACCUCAAACGAUGUCUUAACCUGACUUACUCUGCUACUGAUGACAAGUUUAAGGAACUUCACGUUCACUUCAUUGUCACAGGAUGUACUGAAGAAGAACAGAAUAAUGCAUAUAAAGCUACAUCGAACUUACAUUACUUGGCUGUUUUGGUUCCCAUCACUGGGCUUGUGUCCAUUUUGCAGAUCUAGUGGAAAAUUGGCUGCUUCAGAUGGUGGUUUUCGUAGGAAUGGGUGGAGGCAGCCUGCAGAUGAUCAGAAUAUGACCAGGAAGGACAAAGAGACAUUUUGUUAGUUGAAAUAGUCAUCCUGUCUCCCUCUGGUGUAAAAUCAACUCAUUUUUAGAAACUAUUCGGUUUUCAUUUCUAACAAAGGCUAGAUGUAGUAAAAGAUAUUUUCAUUAUACAGAGAACGUUUUAUACAUACAUACAUAGGUAUAAGUCCUUCUUUACUUUCAUCGCUUCUCUCAUUUUUGUCUCAAACUACUCUGCUCACAUUGAAGCACAGAGGAUGAAUUGGUACCUUAUGAUGGUGAGCUAAGCACUGAUUGGAUGGACCUCAAUUGAUCGCAAACAAGGAUGAAAGCAGAUUAUUGCCUGCAUGUGGCAACAAGCUGGUUGAUGUUCUGUGGUUUAGGCACUCCCUUUCUUGGUAAAAUAUGUCAGUUUUUUCCUCCUUUGGUAGAGCAUAGUAUAGUAUAGUAUAGUAUAGUGUAGCAUAGUAGAGUGUAGUAUAGUGUAAUAUAGAGCAGUGGUCAUCAGGUUGUUGGGCAUCAGCUAAUUGAAGCCCACAGGGAACCAGUCAUGCGGUCUGGAUUUGAUUUUAGUUCCAUCCACAUGCAGACCAGAGUCGGCCAGUUGGUGACCACCGGUAUAGAAUAUGUUAUAGGGAAUUAUAGGUAUGUGGCAGAAGAUUCAGUAGCAAGAUUGAUUAUUAACUUUAUAAGCUUCAUAUGUAGUUUAUCCAUAUAAGCAGCCUCUCGCAUUGAUAGAAAGGCCGCAUUCAGCCGUGGACAUGCCGGGCUGGCUGUCCAUUCCUGACGGACCUCGCCGGGCAUUUCCGACACAGUGCGUGUGACAGCUGUACCUUGGAUCCCCAGGAGGCAUGUCAGGGAGAAAGGGACUGGUGUGGGUCUUACGUCAGGGGCGGGAAGAGCAGGGCAGCCCUGUGGAAGGGUUACGUCACUGCUCACCCGUACAGGAGAUUAAUGCUAAUAUAAUUUCUUAUGAUUAAUUCAGUAAGUUAUCAGAAAUCCUCUACUUAAAACAGUGCAAGGCAAAACAUAGUAAGAAUAAUAAAUAUUAAUGAGGAUGAUAAUAAUUAUCAUAACAAUUAUAAUCAUUAUCAUCAUCACCUUAUUCAUUUUUUAUCAUUAUUAUAUACAAAGAUUGUUACAUACAUCCAUAUACAUGUAUAAUUUUCUGUAUUUCUAUAUUCAAAAACACUUAAAUGCAUACAUUUAUAUACAUACAUAUAUUUUAUAUGGCGAGGUACUUGGGUGUUUCUAAAAGCAAGAGACUUAACUGGAAAUGGAAAUCACCAUGAGGUAAGGUGAUUUACAUUUCCAGUUAAGUCUGUUGCUUUUUUUUAAUGUGUG